rnacentral:rRNA from 1 species
GCCCAGACUCCUACGGGAGGCAGCAGUAGGGAAUUUUCCACAAUGGGGGCAACCCUGAUGGAGCAACGCCGCGUGCAGGAUGAAGGCUUUCGGGUCGUAAACUGCUUUUAUUUGUGACGAUUAUGACAGUAGCAAAUGAAUAAGGAUCGGCUAACUACGUGCCAGCAGCCGCGGUCAUACGUAGGAUCCGAGCGUUAUCCGGAAUCACUGGGCGUAAAGAGUUGCGUAGGUGGUUUGUUAAGCAAAUAGUGAAAUCUUGAGGCUCAACCUUAAGGCUAUUAUUUGAACUGGCAGACUUGAGUUUGGUAGAGGUUAUUGGAAUUCCAAGUGUAGGAGUGAAAUCCGUAGAUAUUUGGGGGAACACCGAUGGCGUAGGCAGAUAACUGGACCAAUACUGACACUAAGGCACGAAAGCGUGGGGAGCGAACGGGAUUAGAUACCCCGGUAGUCCACGCCCUAAACGAUGGGUGCUAGUUGUUAGGAGUAUCGACCCUCUUAGUAACGAAGCUAACGCGUUAAGCACCCCGCCUGUGGAGUACGAGCGCAAGCUUAAAACAUAAAGGAAUUGACGGGGACCCGCACAAGCGGUGGAGCGUGUUGUUUAAUUCGAUGGUAAGCGAAGAACCUUACCCAGGCUUGACAUCCUGUGAAGCAUUGCGAAAGCAAAGUGUGCCUUUUGGAACACAGUGACAGGUGAUGCAUGGCCGUCGUCAGCUCGUGUCGUGAGAUGUUUGGUUAAGUCCAUCAACGAGCGCAACCCUUAUAGUCUGUUGUAUUUUUCAGGCUAGACUGCCCUGGUAACAGGGAGGAAGGAGGGGAUGAUGUCAGGUCAGUAUUUCCCUUAUGUCUGGGGCUACAAACACGCUACAAUGGCCGGUACAAAGGGCAGCCAACCCGCGAGGGGGAGCUAAUCCCAUCAAAGCCGGUCUCAGUUCGGAUAGCAGGCUGAAACUCGCCUGCUUGAAGCUGGAAUCGCUAGUAACGGUAAGUCAGCACAUUACCGUGAAUACGUUCCCGGGUCUUGUACACACCGCCCGUCAAACCAUGAAAGUCAUCAAUACCUGACGUCUGAACAUUGCUUCGGCCUAAGGUAGGGGGGAUAAUUGGGGUUAAGUCGUAACAAGGUAUCCGUACCGGAAGGUGCGGAUGGAUUACCUCCUUU